rnacentral:lncRNA from 1 species
AUAAUGCCUCCACAUUGUGGAACGCUGCAUCCACUGCAUCGCUACUGCCUCAACAUUCCCGGACAAUGCAGGGGGCACUGCAAGCAAUGCAGGGACAAUGCAUCCACCUUCUUGAGAACUGCAUCAUCCGUCGUAACAUACUGCAUGCACCUUGUGGGACACUGCAUCCACUGCCUAGCAACUGCAUCCACAUUCCUGGACAAUGCAGGGGGCACUGCAAACACUGCAGCAACACUGCAUCCAGCUGAAGUGGCACUGCAGGCGUACUGCAAUCACUUCUGGCUCACUGCAUCCAACUCCAGGGCUCUGCAUCCUCUGUCACAACAUACGGCAUCCAACUUUUGGUACACUUCAUCCACUGCAUGGUCACUGCAUUCACAAAGAGCGACACAGAAGGUGGCACUGCAACCACUGCUAAAUCACAGCAUCCACACUCCUGGGUACUGCAUCCUCCAUCACAAAAUAUUGCAUCCACU